AUUGAACGCUGGCGGCAGGCCUAACACAUGCAAGUCGAGCGAGCGGCGGACGGGUGAGUAAUGUAUGGGGACUGCCCGAUAGAGGGGGAUAACUACUGGAAACGGUGGCUAAUACCGCAUACUAUCGGAUAACCCAUAUGGGAUUAGCUAGUAGGUGGGGUAAAGGCUCACCUAGGCGACGAUCUCUAGCUGGUCUGAGAGGAUGAUCAACCAAAAUGGGAAGUAGACACGGGCCAGAAUCCAAGGGAGGCAGCAGUGGGGAAUAUUGCAGAAUGGGCGCAAGCCUUAGAGAGCCAUGCCGGGGGGAAGAAGAAGGGCUUAGGGUUGUAAAGUACUUUCAGCGGGGAGGCGUUACCCGCAGAAGAAGCACCGGCUAACUCCGUGCCAGCAGCCGCGGUAAUUC
rnacentral:rRNA from 1 species